rnacentral:lncRNA from 1 species
AAAUUCUCCCCGGUUCUCCCACCACCCAGCCCUUGGUAACCACCAUUCUAGCCUCUGUUUCUACAAACUCAGCUUUGUAAAAUUCCACAUGAUCACCUGUUCUGGGGGAAGCCCGAUGCUAUUUCGUAAGGAGACUCAAGCAGCCCUAUGGAUAGGGCCACACAGCAAGAAACUGAGGCCUCUUGCCAACAACCAGCAGCAACUGGCUAGGUAUGUGAGUGAGCUGGCUUGGAAGCAGAUAUUUCAGACCCAGAGAAAUCUCCAGAUGACUACAGCCCCAGCUGACAUCUUGACUGCAGCCUCGUGAAAGACUGCGAGCCAGAAAUGCAGAGAAA